GAAAUUGAGGAGAAAUAGGUGAACAGCGAAAUAAUUGAGGGCAAGUUGUGCAUUUGAAUCAACAACCCUACGCAGUAAAACUUAUUCUCCUUAUUUCACAGAUGAAGAAACUAAGGCUUGGAGAGCCUGAGCGGGUUGUGCAAGACUGCAUUGUGAUCAGCACGAUGAAAGGUAAAUCUCGACUCCAAAGUCGAGCUCUUACCAUUAGGUUAUGAGGCACCACUGAGGGUCUGGCUGGAAAUGGGUCAUAACUUUGCGGAGGUUUCUUUGAUGGGUGGAAUUGCCCCUCUGGCCUCAGGUUUCUCACCUUUCAGAUGAAGGCUUUGCAGCAGGUGGGUUCUCCAUGAGAAACAAACAAAUAAAAGGUCUUUGAACGGAGAGGCUGAGUGGGGUGCCUCUCACGCAGGACUGGAACCAUCUGACCACUGGUCUCUGUCCCUCAGGAGGGCAGACCUUUCUGUAUCACACAGCGCUAACACUCAGCCAGAAGACGGUGGCCUCUCUAGACCUGACAUGAAAUGAAAGGUCCCGAGCUGGGUGAGGGCCGGGGCAGGGGAUCAAAACAGUGAAGGGAACAAACCCAUAAUAAAGCUGGCCUUCCUUCAGGCAGAAACUGCAAGGUGCAGACGGGCCUCUCCGGAAUUCUCCCUGCAUGGACUGGAAGGGGUGGCCUGAGCCCUCCUCCCAGGCAGCACAUCUCUGCCCUCAAUUAUCCACCUCCACUCAGGGUUCACUUCCUGAGUGAGGAGCUCUGUGUCGACGUGGGACCAUUUUUACAAGAUGACUUCUCCGAGUCACAUUCCGUUGUUUUAUCUAUAAAAAUUCUGCCUCGGAGACAGACCAGCUUUUUAAACACAGGGUGGUUUUAUCUGCUUGGCCUGUUUAUUGCUUAAUGCCAAGAAGGCUUUCUGAAGAUGCAGAUGCCUUGAACUAACCUCUAAGCAAGAGGGACUCAGUGUGCCUCAGUUGAUUUUCUUUUUCCUCUUUCACAAAUGGAAAUGAAAG
rnacentral:lncRNA from 1 species